rnacentral:rRNA from 1 species
UACGUAGGGUGCAAGCGUUAAUCGGAAUACUGGGCGUAAAGCGUGCGCAGGCGGUGAUGUAAGACAGUUGUGAAAUCCCCGGGCUCAACCUGGGAACUGCAUCUGUGACUGCAUCGCUGGAGUGCGGCAGAGGGGGAUGGAAUUCACGGUGUAGCAGUGAAAUGCGUAGAUAUCGUGAGGAAGACCAGUGGCGGAAGGCCGGGUUUCUGGAGAGU